UCUGACUCAGGCAGACGGAUCUCUAGCGGUCAGACUCCUCUCCGUCUCUGCAUCACAUCAGAGUCAGACACUGGGGCAGUCCUGCUCCGGAUCACUUUUUUUCUUGGGACGUUUUUUUUGCAGCGUGUGUUCGUGGGUUGCAGUUGUGAGCAUGCAAGGCAACGGACGUCACCGAACUAAGGAAUCAAAGAGAACAUGGACAAAUUGGCAACUUUUAUUUUACAAAUGCACUUUAUAUUUAUUCAUCUUUAGUCUGGAACUGAAGAGGAGCGUCACUGCGCCGCUGGACUCUGACGAUUUCGCUUUCUUCCAUGAGGGCGCCCAGGGGUGCCUGGGGGUAAGGGAUCACUCCCUGGUCCUGGCAUCCUCCUGUGAGGAAGACAACCAGCGCUGGAAGUGGGUGACCCGGGGUCGCCUGUUCAACCUGGGCUCCUCGCUGUGCCUGGGCGUAACCACGGGUAACGCCAGCGCCAGAUCGGACAGGUCUCCUCUGGGCGUGUACACCUGUGACCACGAGCCCCCCAGAAUACGCUGGACCUGGAACUGUGGCCAGGUGUUGGACAACCUCAACAUCUAUCUUCCCUCACCCUCAUUUUGGAACUCCUCCUCAACCUCCCCCCCUUCAAAGCUCAAGUGGACCAUGCAUGGUGGGGUAGAGGACCUGUGCUCCAAAACAUAUCGUGAGAUCUACACAAUCCAGGGCAACUCUAACGGACGGCCCUGCUAUCUGCCCUUCCUGUAUGACGGCCAGUGGUUCCACAGCUGCACCAGCAUCGGGCGUGAGGACGGUCACCUCUGGUGCGCCAUCACCCACGACUACGGCAAAGACGAGCGUUGGGGCUUCUGUCCCGUAGAGAGCAGUGGCUGUGAGACCUUCUGGGACACUGACCCGCUGACCGACAGCUGUUACCAGUUUAACUUCCAGGCUACGCUGUCGUGGAGCGAGGCUCGGAUCAGUUGCCAGCAGCAGGGAUCAGACUUGCUUAGCAUCACUAAGCUGCAUGAGCAGACAUACAUCAAUGGGUUACUGACAGGCUACAGUGCAGCUUUGUGGAUUGGCCUGAAUGACCUGGACAUCAGUGGAGGCUGGCAGUGGGCCGACUCCUCACCACUGAAAUAUCUCAACUGGGAGCAAGACCAGCCAAACCACGCUGAGGAGGAGAACUGUGCCGUGAUAAGAACUGAGUCAUCAGGUCGUUGGCAAAAUCGUGAAUGCUCUGUUGCUCUGCCAUAUGUGUGUAAGAAGAGGCCCAAUGCCACCCUGGACCCCUUCACCACUGACUCGUGGGCAGAUGAUGAGAAAUAUGACUGUGAUGUGGGCUGGCAGGCUUUCCAGGCUGGCUGCUACAAGCUGAAUUCAGACAAGAUAGAGUGGGAUACAGCUCAGAAAAGCUGUCAGAGGAUGGAGGCCAACCUGGUCAGCAUCCACACACUACCUGAGCUAGAGUUCAUCAUACGCAACCUCAAGAAAGACAUUGACCAGCUGUGGAUAGGGCUCCAUGAUACUAAUAUGCAAAUGGACUUCCAAUGGACUGACCACACGCCCGUUAUCUUCACCUACUGGCACCCCUUUGAACCCAACAACUUCCGCAACACCCUGGAAGAUUGCGUCUCCAUCUGGGGAGCUGAGGGCCGCUGGGAUGACAGCCCUUGUAAUCUGACUCUGGCCUCCAUCUGUAAGAAAUCGGGCACAAAGACUGAUGGGAAGCCAAAACAUCAAGACUGCAAACAAGGCUGGAAGUGGCACAGUCCAGCGUGUUACUGGGUGGGAGAAGAUCUGUCUGUCUUUGAUGAAGCCAAGAAGGCGUGUGAGGACCAUGGAGCCGCCCUCGUCACCAUUACUAAUAGGUUCGAGCAGGCCUUCGCCAACAGCCUGGUGCUGGGACGCUCUGGAGACUCCUUCUGGAUCGGCCUCCAUGACCAGACCAGCCCCGGCUCCUUCCACUGGCUCAGCGGGGAUGAGGUGUCUUUCACCAACUGGAAUCGUGAUCAACCAGUCAGCAUCCACGGCGGAUGCGUUUCCAUGGCGAUGGGCUCCGCAACAGGUCUGUGGGAGGUGAAGGAGUGUGCGUCAUCAAAGGCGAAAUUCAUCUGCCGUCAGAACCAGGACACGUCUCUGAGCCCCGAGCCCCCCGCCCCGCAGCCCACCCCCAGCCUCAGCGGCGCCUGUCCCAGCGGCUGGAAGAGCAACAGCAACCUGCGCUACUGCUACAAGGUGUUCCAUUCCUCCCAGCUGGAACAGAAGCUGAGCUGGCUGCAGGCUCAUCUCACCUGCCGGAGACACGGAGCCAACCUGCUGAGCAUCAGCAGCCCCGAGGAGGAGCACUUUGUCCUGCAGGUCCUCCACGAGGCCUUUGGGGAGUCAGAGGAUGAGCAGCACUGGUUUUGGAUUGGAUUGAAUCGCAGAAACCCGAUGGACAACGGCAGCUGGAAGUGGAGUGAUGGAGUGGCUUUCACGUACCAGAAUUUCGGCCGCUACUACUACAAUGUCCGGCAAUGUGCUGCAGCAGACCUGGGCACCAUGACCUGGCUGGCCAUGCACUGUGACUCUGAGUUAGACUGGAUCUGCAAGAUCCCUCGAGGUACUGUUGAAGCGGAACCAGAAGAAUCUGAAGGCAGCACUUCCCCGGAGUGGGUUGGCUUCCAGGAGGCUGAAUAUAGACUUUUUGACCAUCGCAGCACUUGGGACCAGGCCCGGAGGAUUUGCUCCUGGUUUGAUUCCUCGCUGGCCUCCGUCCACUCAGCUGAGGAAGAAGCUUUUCUCGCCAACACUUUAAGCAAGAUGUCGAAGGCACAUGGGGACAACUGGUGGCUGGGGCUUCACACCUACGAGAAUGAUGGCCGUUUCCACUGGUCCGACCACUCGGUACUCAAUUACGUGUCCUGGGCCCUUGGUAGGCCCCACCCAGUCAGCCGUGAUCGCAGGUGUAUCCACAUGUCUGCCAACAAAGCAGAUUGGGCUGAUCAGAAGUGCCACUCUGACCUUCCCUACAUCUGUAAGAGAGUGAAUGUCACAGGCACCAUCCCUCCAACCCCCUCAAUCCCACACCCACCUGCAGGCUGCCAUGACGGAUGGUCUUCCUUCCAACAUAAGUGUUUCAGAGCAUUUGAUCAGUCACACCGACUCACAUGGUCUGCAACCAAGUUGAAAUGUGAAACGCAGGGAGGUGUACCGGCAGUGGUGUCCAAUCAUUUGGAGCAAGCCUUCGUCACCACCCUGCUUCAAAAUGCCAGUGUUGACCUAUGGGUGGGUCUGACCUCAGACUCUAAAGGUCAUUUCCAGUGGGCCAAGCCAGGCCUGUUGAGCUACACCAACUGGGCUCCUGGAGAGCCCCUCGACAACAGCGGACCACACCACAACAGGACCCCGGGAAACUGUGUGGUGAUGAUUCAUGGGAACCCACAGAAGAACACCGGCAUGUGGGCCUCCCGAGCCUGUGAGAUGGAAAGUAAUGGCUUCAUCUGUCAAAGGCAACAAGAUUCAGGUCUGCCCCCAGCCCCGGUCCUUAUCCCUGCCUCCCUGUCAACGCCUGUUGAGCUGGGUGGAGUGACUUACCGGGUUGUGGAGAAGCGUCUGGACUGGAUCGGAGCCCUGCACCUCUGUGAAUCUUUGAAUGGGACCCUGGCCAUGUUGAAGGAUCCCUACCAGCAGGCUUACCUCACACUCCUGAUCAACAGACUGCACCGGCCCGCAUGGAUAGGACUCUACAAUUAUGGAGGACGGAGAUUCACCUGGCUGGGUGAAGAAGAAGUGACGUAUACAAACUGGAAAUAUGGGGAGCCGCAUCAGACAGCUGGAUGCGUUCACAUGACCACUACUGGGCAGUGGACCAAGAAUUCCUGUGAUGAUAAACUGGACGCUGCUAUCUGUCAAAUGAGUGAUGACCCUGUGCUGCACGACUGGGUCUUCCCUGGCCAGUGCCCCCACUCUCUGGGAGAGUGGGCGUGGGUGCCUUUCAGACACAACUGUUAUGCCUUUAAUCUGCAAAGUCUUAGACUGCAGCAGGAUGCACGAACAUCCUGUAAAAAAGUGGGAGCUGAACUUCUCUCUAUCUUGGACGAGACAGAAAACGGAUUUGUGUGGGAACACAUCCAGAGCUAUGCAGAGCAGGCGCAUGGAGCUUGGCUAGGCAUCAGUGUCAAAGGUAGAGGUUUGGUUUGGGCCGAGGACACAGAGAUGUCCUACACCAAUUGGGAGGCACAUGAUGUCGCCUUCUCUGUUCUAUCUCCAAACUCCUGCUUCUGGAUCGAGAGCAACAGCGGCCUGUGGAAGCCAGGCUCAUGCAGAAACCGAACACAUGGAGUCAUCUGCAAACGCCCUCGAAGUGCUGAAACCGCAGCUGUCACAAUGGACAGUGACCACCUGCCCACUCUGAUUGUUGUCAUUGUGACGUCCCUGGUGCUGUUGGUGCUGAUCGUUGGCAUUCUCUACUUCUACCGCCGGCGAACUAUCGGGUCCCGGGGGUCCUAUGAAGGGGCCCGGUACAGCCGCACCAACUCCAACCAUGCUGAGCAGGUAGAGAAGAACAUCCUGGUGUCGGACAUGGAGCUGAACGAGCAGGCGGAGUAGCACCAUGACACUGGAGAGGCUGAAUUCAAAGUGUGGACUGUUGACUGAUCUUUUGUUGUCUCAUUUGAAACCAAAGAAAGAUUUUUAAAGUGCUGAAGGGCUGUGUAGAGCGCAGCAGAUGUUUAAUUUUUUAAUUGAAUUCCCGCCUUCCAAAUCCUCUUUUGCCAAGACUUAACAGCCCUAUCAAUAUCUCUGCAGGAAACCACAGAUCCUUCCAUAUGUACAUCUUUUCCCCAAAAGCAUUCAUGGAUGGAUCCACUCGAAGCAGGAUAAUUCAACAUUACUCGUUUUUUAUGAAAUAACUCCACAGUAUUUACUCUGGUGCCAAUGUCAGCUUUUGUUGGUGUAUAUUUCCUUUGUGGUUCCCUUUUUGAUUGAAAAACAUACAUAGCAAAACAUACAAUCACAGAUCGACACCAUUUGGCUCUGUCCUCUAAAUACACAGUCACAGUUUUCUUCAGGAACAAAUUCACUUUUUAAAUGUUUCUGUUUUGCCAUGACAGUAUUUACCUGACAUUGGGGUGUUUUGUUGUUAUUGCAUUCCUGUUAUUCCCAUUCAUUUGUCAUGAUCUGUACUGCUGUGGGGAACUGUUACUGAUGAUGCAUGUCUGUUUUUUGUGAGUCUGCCUCUCUCCUCCUCUAUGAUCUGACACGUCAGCACCAGCUGUCAGACAAGUAGAGGAGGAACAAGUCCAAAUUUGAAUGUGUGGAGGGUGACAGGGACCAUUGUUAGUGGUGACCGUCUAAGGGCAGUACACUAGAAUUGUGGACAUUACUGAUACUAAGUUCUGUCCUUAGUAUUUAAAACUGGACUUUAAGUAGACUACACAAUCAGACUUUCAGCUUCCAUGGAAUCACCUACAUUUAGGCACUUUCUACUACUAACUUGAUGUUAUUAAUCCACUUGCCUUUCGUCAUUUCCGCUAAGGUAUAGUUGCUGUUCAAUGAUGCCAAACGUUUUUUUUUGUUUUUUUUCAUCUGGUGCUGUUUCAGCAUUUGUAAGGGCAGUAUUCACUUUGUAUGCACUAUUGAAAAAGUAGUGCAUCCCGGGCGCUGUACACUAGCUGCCCACUGCUCCUAGUACUAGACUCCUGGUACUAGGAUGGGUUCAAUGCAGAGGCCAAAUGUCACUGUGUGUGCUGUGUGCUCUGCAUGUGUGACUAUUAAAAGAGGGUUUCAUCCCUCCCCAAUUCUUCUUCUUCUAAAAAGGGUUUGCAAUUUGAUAUUUUUCUGAUGCAUCAUUUGCAUGAGCCGGAUUUCACUUCUCUGUAUGGGCUUUUUGUAAGAUAUUCUUCUGUAUCUCUCUCUUGGGAUUGAUGCUGGUCUCAUUAAGUGUUUUGACUUUGCAUACCACUGGUAAUGCUUCGCUACUUUAAUGGGAUAACAAAGAAACUUGAACCUCCCAUUGCCCCACAAAAGAAAACUUCCCUUAGGUGAAUGACACCACUUUGAGCCAAAGAAAGUUUUUUAUGAGUACAUUCACAAUUUUGUAAAAACAAAACCUCAUUCCGUUCUUCAUCCCUGUCAUUUCAUGAUUUCACAUCUGUGCAGCGUAAUGACCACAUUUUUCUGAGUUCAUUUACUUCCCCAAACUUUUUUUCCCUUGGCUGAAGUCUCUGAGUUCAUUUCUGUCUUUCUGCUUGCACAAAUGCUUUGGAGACAUUUCAGUCUUUUGGUGUCUUAAAGAGCUGCUGUGAAAAAAACUGCUUUUUUUGCUCUGUGAGUUGGACUUACAUAGAGGGGGAGGGGAGGAGGAGGUGUGUGUGUGUGUGUGUGUGUGUGUGUGUGUGUGUGUGUGUGUGUGUGUGUGUGUGUGUGUGUGUGUGUGUGUGUGUGUGUGUGUGUGUAUGUGUGUG